rnacentral:rRNA from 1 species
GACGAACGCUGGCGGCGUGCCUAAUACAUGUAGGUCGAGCGAAUGGAAGGGAGCUUGCUCCCUGAAGUUAGCGGCGGACGGGUGAGUAACACGUGGGCAACCUGCCUGUAAGACUGGGAUAACUUCGGGAAACCGGAGCUAAUACCGGAUACGUUCUUUCCUCGCAUGAGGAAAGAUGGAAAGAUGGUUUCGGCUAUCACUUACAGAUGGGCCCGCGGCGCAUUAGCUAGUUGGUGGGGUAAUGGCCCACCAAGGCGACGAUGCGUAGCCGACCGGAGAGGGUGAUCGGCCACACUGGGACUGAGCAACGGCCCAGACUCCUACGGGAGGCAGCAGUAGGGAAUCUUCCGCAAUGGACGAAAGUCUGACGGAGCAACGCCGCGUGAGCGAAGAAGGCCUUCGGGUCGUAAAGCUCUGUUGUCAGGGAAGAACAAGUGCCAGAGUAACUGCUGGCACCUUGACGGUACCUGACCAGAAAGCCACGGCUAACUACGUGCCAGCAGCCGCAGUAACAC